ensembl:snRNA
AAAAAAGGCUUUUGCCAUGAGUGGCAGAUGUAAGGCAACUUGAUUGUUCUGUAUGUGGAAUCGACAUCAAGAGAUUUCAGAGGCAUAAUUUUUUGGUACCUGGGCAGCUGGUGAAUAAAAGUAAAAAAUUAAAAAUUAUCUAUUGGCUCCACU